rnacentral:rRNA from 1 species
CAGGAUGAACGCUAGCUACAGGCUUAACACAUGCAAGUCGAGGGGCAGCAUUUUAGUUUGCUUGCAAACUGAAGAUGGCGACCGGCGCACGGGUGAGUAACACGUAUCCAACCUGCCGAUAACUCCGGGAUAGCCUUUCGAAAGAAAGAUUAAUACCGGAUGGCAUACGAAUAUCGCAUGAUAUUUUUAUUAAAGAAUUUCGGUUAUCGAUGGGGAUGCGUUCCAUUAGUUUGUUGGCGGGGUAACGGCCCACCAAGACUACGAUGGAUAGGGGUUCUGAGAGGAAGGUCCCCCACAUUGGAACUGAGACACGGUCCAAACUCCUACGGGAGGCAGCAGUGAGGAAUAUUGGUCAAUGGGCGAGAGCCUGGACCAGCCAAGUAGCGUGAAGGAUGAAGGCUCUAUGGGUCGUAAACUUCUUUUAUAUGGGAAUAAAGUUUUCCACGUGUGGAAUUUUGUAUGUACCAUAUGAAUAAGGAUCGGCUAACUCCGUGCCAGCAGCCGCGGUAAUACGGAGGAUCCGAGCGUUAUCCGGAUUUAUUGGGUUUAAAGGGAGCGUAGGUGGAUUGUUAAGUCAGUUGUGAAAGUUUGCGGCUCAACCGUAAAAUUGCAGUUGAAACUGGCAGUCUUGAGUACAGUAGAGGUGGGCGGAAUUCGUGGUGUAGCGGUGAAAUGCUUAGAUAUCACGAAGAACUCCGAUUGCGAAGGCAGCUCACUAGACUGUUACUGACACUGAUGCUCGAAAGUGUGGGUAUCAAACAGGAUUAGAUACCCUGGUAGUCCACACAGUAAACGAUGAAUACUCGCUGUUUGCGAUAUACAGUAAGCGGGCCAAGCGAAAGCAUUAAGUAUUCCACCUGGGGAGU